GCGCCUGGAAGCAUAGGGUUUAGAGGCAGCGGAAAGUGAUUUGAGGGAGUGCAGGCUCCGCUUUUGUCUGGGGCUCCCACGGAUUCUAAAGUGUCACACACUCCGGUUAUUAUGGAUUUGUGAAAGUGUUACUGUUCUUCUUAGUCCUGUGUGGUGGCCGCCUCUUCUUCCCGUGCUCUGUAAAAGAUAGAGAAUGAACACUUCUAAGGGGCUACCAUGCAGUGAAAAAGAUCACUGGAUUGGAAAUCAAGAGUUGGAUGCUAAUUCCUCUCUACCACUGAAUUACUUUGUGACACAGGGAGAAAAAAAAAGCAGGAAAAGGAGAUAAUGAAGAAACAGCCAUUGUUCAGCCAUUUUUCUAUCAGCUUUACCUGAAAGGAGAACAGCUUUGAUGUCAUUCAUCACAAGGUUUUUUUGAAGACCGUUCUUAAUCAGGACACUGAGGUCAGGCCCCCAGAGAGUAGAGGUAAGGUCAAGAUUGCCCAUGAUAACACCACAUCGUUACCAUCCACUUCCAUUCCAAGGAAUGAAGUUAUGGAAUGGAUCAUGCCGCCAAGUAAAGAACUAUGACCAGCUGAGUGCAAAAGCAGCAGAAUGGGUAAUGGAAUAAAGUAAUUAUAAAUACUAGCUGUGGCCACAUGAUCACUGUAGAAAAAAGAUUAUAAUCAUUAUGAGUAUUCCAUCCUCAUUUUGUUAUGAAUAUUUCCAUGUAUCUUGACCAAAUAUUUUCGUUUUUUUUUUCUGUCUGUUAUCCCUUUGUCAUCUAACAGAAAGUGUAUUAAUAAUAGUUAACUUUUUCUCACAAUAUUUAAGCUGUAGGAAAUCAAAGGAAGAGAAUGAACAUUCCCAAGAAGUUUCCACCUCUUUUAAGAAAAAGUAUAGUUUUGUUUUUGGUUGUUCCCAAGAUAUUGUUUCAUGUUCAGCAGAAAUAUGGUUUUGUUACUAUAUUUACUUGGAUGUUAAACAAGAUUUAAGGAGAUAUGAUCCUAGGAUAUGGGCACCUUCACAUCAAGGGGUAGACUGUGAUAGUCUCUUUCAUGUGUCCACUUUUUCAUAGUCCCUCAUUAUUAGUCCAAUGGUUAUCUAGGUAUUGCAGUGAAGGUAUUUUGUAGAUGUGCUUUAAAGCCCAUAAUCAGUUUAAAGUGGACAUUCUGGAAGAAUUAGGUAAAGCUGCAAACUGAGUAUGUUCUGUAAAUGGCAAAAUGACAUGGGAUAUCAGGAGUGCAAUGUAAAGGCAGUGCUGAAAGUUGAGCUGAAGUGCUCAAGUGACUCCAUUCAGCCCCAAUUUAGUAGUUCAUGAGUAGGAUGUAAUGCUCACUUGAAGAAGGGAAGUAGAGAAUGGCUAAUGUAUGCUAUGGGGUAUGAUUGGCAAGAAGAACAACUUGGCUGAGGUCAGAGAAAGAAGACUGACAUGGAUAAAUCAGCAGGAGAGAUUUGAGACAUGAGAUAGUAGAUGCAUGGAACUAAACAAAUAUCCACUUCUCAUUGAUUUUGAUGUACUGAAGAAUAACAGAAGGCAAAGUGCUUGAUGGAUUAAAAAACUGUAUAGGGUGUAGUAACUGCAAUAUGGAAAUUAAAGAAAAUAGUAUUAAAUACUGUCCAUUGAACUAACCAGUAUUUAUAAGAAUAUUUGUGAACUAUAGUCACCCAUAAAGAACCUGUACCUUAGGAUUUUAUUGCUGAAAAGGAAAGAACUAAUCUCAUUUUUGUUACCUUUAAAAUGAGGGAACAGAGACCCAGAGCGGGUGUCAGCAUCACAGCGCUAGUUCAAAGUGACAGAACUAAUAGAAUUCAUCUUUUCUGUUCAUUUCAGUGCCAAGCUAAAUUCCCACAUUCCUAGUUUGAGAAGUAUUAUGGUGUAGUGAUUAACAGCACUGGAUCUCAAAUCAGACAACCUGGCUUCAAUCCUGUAUCUGAUAGUUAUAAGUUGUGUGACCUUAGUCAAUUGGUACCUUGGCUUAAUCAUCUCUAAAAUGAGAAUGAUGACAACUGUGUCAGUCUCAUAGGAAUGUUGUAACAUAUAAAUGAGUUGUUCAUGUAAAGUAUUUAGACUAGUGCCAGAAACACAGUAAGUGCUGGGUAGAUGCUAGCUGUUAUUGUUAGGUGAACUAUACUAUGAAAUUAGUAUAGAUAGAUUUUAGACUUUUAGGUUGCACUUAAAGAUAUGGAGCAGCUAGUGAUAAAUGUAAAUACAGUCCUAAUCUCUACAUAGCUAAUAUAAGGAUUGAAAAAUGGGAAGAUGAAGGAAAGGCCACAAGGUCUUUCUUCACUGUAUUGAAUUAAAGAUUGUGGUAGGGCCUUCAUUUAAAAAGUCAAAGAUAAGUGAUUUUUAAAAAAUGAUUACUGGGAUGAUACAUUUAAAAAAGAAAACUACUAAAUGAAAGGAUUUGAGCAGCAGAAGUUGAAGUUGAAGUUGAAUUCACUUCUGAGUCUUCAACGACACAUGGGUUGAGGAAGAAUACAGACUUCAUCCUAAGAGCUCUUUCUGUGAUGGGAAUGGUUAUGAGGGGACUCCCAAGCAGAAACUCUGGCUAACUGGUCAGGAAUGGGAGAGGAAAAACAUCUCUAUCUCUUUGGAUGGCUUGAGGGAUACUUAAUAACCCUGUGAGCAGCUGAUAGUGGGAAAGAAUCACAGCAGGCGAACAGUUUCAGCCUCACUAUGUAGAAAGAAGCAGGGACUGGGAGCCAUAGCAGAAUAUUCAACUACUCAAAUGAAGAGUCAUUAGACUUAAAUAGACCAAUAGGGCCAAUGGAACCCAGAUGAAACAUCUCGGCGGCAUAACAGACUUCUGGAGAGCAACUACAAUUUAAAUGUAUUUAAAAUGCUAAGCUCUGUGACGGAAUCUUUCUCUGGAUACAGUUCCAUGAAAAUGGCUUUUUGAAUGGGUGGAGCAAUUGGCUAACCUUAACCAAACAAGACUCCAUAGUGAAUCACAAAAUGCAGUUAAGGAAUUAACUGUUUGUUGUGCUGGGCACUAAGAAUUUUUGUAUCUGGCUACAUAACAUAUUUCCUUUCCACAGGAGGUAGUUAUGACAAAUUAGAAGUCUGAAAAUUUUCUGAUGGUGUAAAGGCCCAGCUGUCACUGGGGAGAUAGUGAUCAGAUUUCAUAGCUGCGUGGUCCCAUGGCGCCAUGGAGAGCUCCAUAUGGUCACCCAAAUGUUUCAGCUAAAUCCACUGAAAAUUUCCAGUCUGAGUUUUACUUGGAAAGAAUAAAACUCUCCUUGUAUAAAUUUAUCAUUAUGUGCCUACCAAGAGAAAAAAUCUUGUUAACUGGUUACAUUUUAAAAAAUGGAAAAAAUAAUCCACUUAAGAACAACUUUGUACAGCUGUUGUGCUGUCUUCAUGAUAAACAGAUAACGAUGCACUCCUGGGAAUUUACAGAAUUUACUUUAUAUCAAUUGUCAUAUAACCUCAGGAAGGUGGACUUUUAAAAUGAUGUAUGGUGAACAGCUAACAUCCAUGGGAAUAUCUACUUCUGUGAUAAAAAAAACAACUUUAUAAACUCCGGUUCUCUCAUUACCCCAGAAAAUCAUCUCCACUAAAUUGUUAAUAUAAUUACUAAGUGCUGGGACACUUGUAUGCAUGUCAAAGAUGUCAGCUUAAGUCUUACCCAAUAACAAAUGACAAAUGCAUACUUUAUUGAUUCAUAAAUGGCUAUGUCCUUGGAUCUAUUCCAUACAAGUGCUUAGAAACACAUCUGGCUCAUGAAGGUAACAACUAUUUUAAAGAAGGUCAGCUGUAUAUUUUAAAGUUAAAAAGGAAGGAUAUAGUAGUCUUACUUGUUACAUUUCUUUCCUGAAUCAAGAAAGGUUAUAGGUUUUAUAAUUCCAUUUGGGGUUUUAUGAUAUAAAUAAUAUAGCAAAUAUAGUUAACUGAAAUUUUUGAAUAUUAGAAAUAUAAGCAAUGAGCCAAGUGUUACUUCAUAAAAAAGUUUCGUUUUUACUAAAAACAUCUGAUGUACUAAUUUUAAUGUUACAUAUCAGAUGCUACUAACUGAAUAUUCUUUUUUUAUGCAACAUAAAUGAAAGUAUGUGGCAUUUAUUACUGAAAAUAUCAAACUGAAAUAUGAAUGAAGGUACUUCAAAUAUUUAAUAUUUUUAAUUAAAAUUAUUUUGCCAUUAAUUCUUAAUCAUAUAUAGCCUGCUUAGCUAUUAGCAUUCCAUGUGGUUGUUCUAAGCACAUGCAAACACUUAAAAUAUUACACUUAAUUAAUUAUGUCAUCCUCUAUUUUCUCUGGUAGAAGCAAAAUAAGCUUUUUCUGAAAUACAUUUCAAAUUUUAUUCUGCUGAUGUACAAAGAAAUGCAUGGUAGAGAAAAUACAUUUCCAAAACAUUUCAGUAAACAUCCAGGCACUUCUAACUUUACAUUUCACCUUGCAGCACACACAAAAUGUUUAAUUAUUUGAGGAUUAAUGGAGGUAGUUUAUAAUUAAGCUGAAGUAUGAACUGAUGUCAUCAUCUCAGUAUGAUGAUAUACAUUUUUAUGCCAAAGCACCUGUUGUUUUGGAAGGAAGCAGCUGAUAUCAUUAUCUGCGCAGCCAGAUAGCCCUGUUUCCUGCUGCUUAAAAAAUUAUCCUAAGGGUUACCUAAGUUGGAGUAAUUCAGAAUUCACGUUUUCAUACCCAGAAGAGGGGAGAAUGGAGAAAAUGACUUCUCCAGCAAAGGAAGGGAAAGAGAAAUACACUGAGAAAAGGGAAGAAGGAGGAAAGGAAGCGCUUUAGUGUAGGUGAACAAAGGUUACAGCUAUUCAUGCCAGGAGGGAUGGUCUUCUUAUUUCUUCUAAGGGCACAUAGAGUUUGCAAGAGAACAAAACAAUGGAAGCAUCUGUUUUAUUAAUGUGAGUGAAAUGAUGCAUUGUUAGAGGAAGUGGAGGGGAAAAAUAUGCAAUUUUAUAUUUUAACACACAAAAUAUAUCACCGUUUCUAAAUACUCAUUAAAAUGUUAGUAUUUCCAAAUUACAGUGAUCUACAGCAAGAUUCAAAGAAUCCAAAUGUUUAUUUUCUCAUGUCUAUUAGAUAACCCUGCCCCUGAAUGGUUUUUCAGUUUGUUAGUUGGCAGGUUGGAUUUUGCUAUGCAUUGCUUAGGGCUGAGCCUAUUGAUUUAAGUAAAAUCCUAUAGAACAUAAACACAAUGGCUAUACAAGUGUAUCAAUCAACAUAUUCAUUUCUUAAUUUUUAAUUUUUAUUAAAGUAUAAUUGAUUAAGGAGUUCCCGUCGUGGUGCAGUGGUUAACAAAUCUGACUAGGAACCAUGGGGUUGCGGGUUCGAUCCCUGCCCUUGCUCAGUGGGUUAAGGAUCUGGUGUUGCCAUGGGCUGUGGUGUAGGUUGCAGACGUGGCUCGGAUCCCACGUUGCUGUGGCUCUGGUGUAGGCUGGUGGUUAUAGCUCUGUUAGACCCCUGGCCUGGGAACCUCCAUAUGCUGCAAGAGCGGCCCAAGAAAUAGCAAAAAGACAAAAAAAAAAAAAAAA
rnacentral:lncRNA from 1 species